rnacentral:rRNA from 1 species
UACGGAGGGGGCUAGCGUUGUUCGGAAUUACUGGGCGUAAAGCGCACGUAGGCGGCUUUGUAAGUUAGAGGUGAAAGCCCGGGGCUCAACCCCGGAAUUGCCUUUAAGACUGCAUCGCUAGAAUUGUGGAGAGGUAAGUGGAAUUCCGAGUGUAGAGGUGAAAUUCGUAGAUAUUCGGAAGAACACCAGUGGCGAAGGCGACUUACUGGACACAUAUUGACGCUGAGGUGCGAAAGCGUGGGGAGCAAACCGG